rnacentral:rRNA from 1 species
UCGAGCGAGACCUUCGGGUCUAGCGGCGGACGGGUUAGUAACGCGUGGGAACGUGCCCUUCUCUGCGGAAUAGCCACUGGAAACGGUGAGUAAUACCGCAUACGCCCUUCGGGGGAAAGAUUUAUCGGAGAAGGAUCGGCCCGCGUUAGAUUAGAUAGUUGGUGGGGUAAUGGCCUACCAAGUCUACGAUCUAUAGCUGGUUUUAGAGGAUGAUCAGCAACACUGGGACUGAGACACGGCCCAGACUCCUACGGGAGGCAGCAGUGGGGAAUCUUAGACAAUGGGCGCAAGCCUGAUCUAGCCAUGCCGCGUGUGUGAUGAAGGUCUUAGGAUCGUAAAGCACUUUCGCCAGGGAUGAUAAUGACAGUACCUGGUAAAGAAACCCCGGCUAACUCCGUGCCAGCAGCCGCGGUAAUACGGAGGGGGUUAGCGUUGUUCGGAAUUACUGGGCGUAAAGCGCGCGUAGGCGGAUUGGAAAGUUGGGGGUGAAAUCCCGGGGCUCAACCCCGGAACUGCCUCCAAAACUAUCAGUCUAGAGUUCGAGAGAGGUGAGUGGAAUUCCAAGUGUAGAGGUGAAAUUCGUAGAUAUUUGGAGGAACACCAGUGGCGAAGGCGGCUCACUGGCUCGAUACUGACGCUGAGGUGCGAAAGUGUGGGGAGCACACAGGAUUAUAUACCCUGGUAGUCCACACCGUACACGAUGAAUGCCAGUCGUCGGGCAGUAUACUGUUCGGUGACACACCUAACGGAUUACGCAUUCCGCCUCGGGAGUACGGUCGCAAGAUUAAAACUCAUAAGGUAUUUGACGGGGG